UACCACUUCAGCCUGCAUCAAGCAACCUGUUUCUGGAUAAGAAUGUCGUAUCAGUGGAAUCAUGUAGUCCAGAGACUUCGGAGUCUGGCUCUUCUCAUUUACCAUGCUGCGUUUGAGAUUCAUCCACGUUUUUGUGCAGAUUUAGUAGCUCAUUCCUUUUUACUGAAUCCCAAUGCCUGAGUGUUUUCAACAAAGUGCCACAUCAGCAGAAAUCAACUUGAACCGUUGGCCUUGUUAACUUUUUUAUUGAUUACACUGUGCCGGCUGCAUUUGGACUUGACAACAAACAUGAAUUAUGUACACGUGGAAA